GGGGCGGUGAUGACCCCAACAUGCCAUCUGAGUGCCCAUGCUGAGACCCAGAGGCUGUUUCUGAGCUU
ensembl:snoRNA small nucleolar RNA, C/D box 95